rnacentral:snRNA from 1 species
GGAUGUGAAGGUGAUCUGGCUGCGACAUCUGUCACUCCAUUGAUGGCCAGGGUUGAUUCGGCUGAUCUGGCUGGCUAGGCAGGUAUCUCCCUUCCUCCCUCAACGCUCCAUAUGCGUCCCUCGCGAAGCUGCAUGCUGAUUGAAGAGGACGACCACCCCCUGAGAGAGGAGGCCCGUUCCUCGGUCAAGGGUAUAUGAGCAGCUGCGCUCCCCUGCUAGAACCUCCAAACAAACUCUCAAGGUCCCAGUGGGUGUUAAGUGAGCAGCUUUUUACACCACACUCUUUCACCAUGAUGUUUCUGCCUCUGAGGCCAGCGAUCGUG